GUUGAAGUUUUUUUUUUGCUGUUACUCACAAGUGUUAGCAUAGAUUAUCGUUUCAUUUUGGAAUUCACCAAGAAUUCAUAUCUGUUUCAUUUUAUUUAUAUGAACACAGGAGGAAUAUUUGACGAUACUUUAUUCAAAUUAUACAGAAUAUUUCUCUUUCUAUUGUCACAGGUAAACAUAGAUAAACUUUAACUGGCAAAUCGGGCAAAGGUGGUUUUUGUUGUAGAUAAAAAUCUCUAAACACAGUUUGGCAUGAAAGGAGUCCACAAAUGCUUGCGUUCAAGAGUCUCUG